rnacentral:tRNA from 1 species
UUCAGUGUGGCAUAGUGGUUUCAGCACUGGACGAUGACUCUGGAGACCAGGGUUCAAUUCCCCACUCAAG